rnacentral:misc_RNA from 1 species
GAUGAAGAACGCAGCGAAAUGCGAUAAGUAAUGCGAAUUGCAGAAUUCAGUGAAUCAUCGAGUCUUUGAACGCACAUUGCGCCCGCUAGUAUUCUGGCGGGCAUGCCUGUCUGAGCGUCAUUUCAACCCUCGCCCCCGGCUUUUGCUGGGAGCGGUGUUGGGGAUCGGCCGCCCGUCACUGGGAGGCCGGCCCCGAAAUAGAGUGGCGACCACGCCGUGUGCUCCUCUGCGUAGUAGUAAAUCACCUCGCAGGCGGACAGCGGUGCGGCCUGCCGUAAAACCCCCAACUCUUUCUGGUUGACCUCAGAUCAGGUAGGAAUACCCGCUGAACUUAAGCAUAUCAAUAAGCGGAGGA